AGAGUUUGAUCCUGGCUCAGAACGAACGCUGGCGGCGUGCCUAACACAUGCAAGUCGAACGGAGAUAAGGGGCUUGCUCCUUAUCUUAGUGGCGCACGGGUGAGUAACGCGUGGAUAAUCUGCCUUGGAAUCUGGGAUAACAUCUCGAAAGGGGUGCUAAUACCGGAUAAGACCACGAGCUCUUCGGAGUUUGCGGUAAAAGGGGGCCUCUGUAUAUGCUUCUGUUUCAAGAUGAGUCCGCGUACCAUUAGCUAGUUGGCAGGGUAAUGGCCUACCAAGGCGACGAUGGUUAGCUGGUCUGAGAGGAUGAUCAGCCACACUGGAUCUGGGACACGGUCCAGACUCCUACGGGAGGCAGCAGUGGGGAAUUUUGCGCAA
rnacentral:rRNA from 1 species